UUAAAGCCCCACCCCUUGGGUGAAACUGUAGGUCUUUUUAUUUUUACCUCAGUUUGGUUCAUGGUAUGUUUUUUAUUUUAAGAGAAUGCAAUUUUUUUGUUGUUGUUGUUUGUUUUUUCCAGAAAAUGUCCCCUCACAGCAAUGAUUGCCAACGCCGAGGCACCUAGCACAGUGUCUUGCUCAGUGGGUACUCAGUAUAUAUGGAACUGGGUUGAUUAAGGCACAAAACCAACAGCAAGAUUGAUGACAUAUCAGAUCCAUUUAGAGUGGAAAAAAUAUGUUGGCCAUUUAAAAAUAGUCAUUGGAAGGCCUAUGCACCUAAGAGAACCUCAUGUAUCUUCUGCUACUGAAGUCUAAUAUUACUAAAUUCAAAAAGGCUUUAAUGCAUUAUGACAAAGCAUAUGAAGAAAGCCUUAAGGUGAAGAAAGCCUUAAUAGUCUACUGACUGUGGACAGUAAAACCCUUUAUUAUCUAGAACCCAG
rnacentral:lncRNA from 1 species